rnacentral:misc_RNA from 1 species
GAUGAAGAACGUAGCGAAAUGCGAUAAGUAAUGUGAAUUGCAGAAUUCAGUGAAUCAUCGAAUCUUUGAACGCACAUUGCGCCCGCCAGUAUUCUGGCGGGCAUGCCUGUUCGAGCGUCAUUUCAACCAUCAAGCCCCCGGCUUGUGUUGGGGACCUGCGGCUGCCGCAGGCCCUGAAAAGCAGUGGCGGGCUCGCUGUCACACCGAGCGUAGUAGCAUACAUCUCGCUCUGGGCGUGCUGCGGGUUCCGGCCGUUAAACCACCUUCAUAACCCAAGGUUACCUCGGAUCAGGUAGGAAGACCCGCUGAACUUAAGCAUAUCAAUAAGCGGAGGA